rnacentral:tRNA from 1 species
GCCUGGCUCAGUGGCAGAGCCUUUGUUUUCUAUACGGAAGGUCCCAGGUUCAAUCCUGGCAUCUCCA